GCCGCUAUAGCUCAGCUGGCUAGAGCAGCUGAUUUGUAAUCAGCAGGUCGUGGGUUCGAGUCCCUCUAGCGGCU
rnacentral:tRNA from 3 species